GACGAACGCUGGCGGCGUGCUUAACACAUGCAAGUCGAACGGAAAGGCCCUGCUUUUGUGGGGUGCUCGAGUGGCGAACGGGUGAGUAACACGUGAGUAACCUGUCCUUGACUUUGGGAUAACUUCAGGAAACUGGGGCUAAUACCGCAUAGGAUCUCCUGCUGCAUGGUGGGGGUUGGAAAGUUUCGGCGGUUGGGGAUGGACUCGCGGCCUAUCAGCUUGUUGGUGGGGUAGUGGCUUACCAAGGCUUUGAAGGGUAGCCGGCCUGAGAGGGUGACCGGCCACAUUGGGACUGGGAUGAGGCACAGACUCCUACGGGAGGGAGCAGUGGGGAAUAUUGCACAAUGGGCGGAAGCCUGAUGCAGCAAAGCCGCGUGCGGGAUGACAGCAAUCGGGUUGUAAACCGCUUUCGCCUGUGACGAAGCGUGAGUGACGGUAAUGGGUAAAGAAGCACCGGCUAACUACGUG
rnacentral:rRNA from 1 species